UCCUCUAUAUAUCUUCUCUCUCCAGUUCUAAACGCCUUUUAGCCUUCAGCCCCAAACCAAAAGAGAGAAAGAGGGUUGAAGAUGGUGCAAAGGCUCACGUACCGCAAACGGCAUAGCUAUGCGACGAAAUCGAACCAGCACAGGAUCGUCAAAACCCCUGGUGGGAAGUUGGUUUAUCAGAGCACCAAGAAGAGGGCAAGUGGUCCUAA